rnacentral:rRNA from 1 species
GAUGAACGCUGGCGGCGUGCCUAAUACAUGCCAGUCGAGCGAACGGACGAGGAGCUUGCUCCUUUGACGUUAGCGGCGGACGGGUGAGUAACACGUGGAUAACCUACCUAUAAGACUGGGAUAACUUCGGGAAACCGGAGCUAAUACCGGAUAAUAUAUUGAACCGCAUGGUUCAAUAGUGAAAGACGGUUUUGCUGUCACUUAUAGAUGGAUCCGCGCCGCAUUAGCUAGUUGGUAAGGUAACGGCUUACCAAGGCAACGAUGCGUAGCCGACCUGAGAGGGUGAUCGGCCACACUGGAACUGAGACACGGUCCAGACUCCUACGGGAGGCAGCAGUAGGGAAUCUUCCGCAAUGGGCGAAAGCCUGACGGAGCAACGCCGCGUGAGUGAUGAAGGUCUUCGGAUCGUAAAACUCUGUUAUUAGGGAAGAACAAAUGUGUAAGUAACUAUGCACGUCUUGACGGUACCUAAUCAGAAAGCCACGGCUAACUACGUG